GUCUACGGCCAUGCUAACCUGAAUAAGCCCAAUACCGUCUUAUCUCAGAAGCUAAGCAGGGUUGGGCCUGGUUUGUACUUGGAUGGGAGACCACGUAGGAAGACCAGGUGCUGUAGGCG
ensembl:rRNA 5S_rRNA 5S ribosomal RNA